CCUACGGGAGGCAGCAGUGGGGAAUAUUGGACAAUGGGCGAAAGCCUGAUCCAGCAAUGCCGCGUGAGUGAUGAAGGCCUUAGGGUUGUAAAGCUCUUUUACCAGGGAUGAUAAUGACAGUACCUGGAGAAUAAGCUCCGGCUAACUCCGUGCCAGCAGCCGCGGUAAUACGGAGGGAGCUAGCGUUGUUCGGAAUUACUGGGCGUAAAGCGUACGUAGGCGGUUAUUCAAGUCAGAGGUGAAAGCCUGGAGCUCAACUCCAGAACUGCCUUUGAAACUAGAUAGCUAGAAUCUUGGAGAGGUGAGUGGAAUUCCGAGUGUAGAGGUGAAAUUCGUAGAUAUUCGGAAGAACACCAGUGGCGAAGGCGACUCACUGGACAAGUAUUGACGCUGAGGUACGAAAGCGUGGGGAGCAAACAGGAUUAGAUACCCUGGUAGUCCACGCCGUAAACGAUGAUAACUAGCUGUUCGGGCUCUACGAGCUUGAGUGGCGCAGCUAACGCAUUAAGUUAUCCGCCUGGGGAGUACGGUCGCAAGNUUAAAACUCAAAGGAAUUGACGGCUGAGAGNGCGACGACGACGACGAGGGAGAGG
rnacentral:rRNA from 1 species